rnacentral:rRNA from 1 species
GAUGAACGCUAGCGGCAGGCUUAAUACAUGCAAGUCGAGGGGCAGCAUGAUUGGAGCAAUACAAUUGAUGGCGACCGGCAAACGGGUGCGGAACACGUACACAACCUCCCAAUAAGUGGGGAAUAGCCCAGAGAAAUUUGGAUUAAUACCCCGUAACAUAACGAUGUGGCAUCACAUUGUUAUUAUAGAUUUUACGCUUAUUGAUAAGUGUGCGGCUGAUUAGAUAGUUGGCGGGGUAACGGCCCACCAAGUCUACGAUCAGUAGCUGAUGUGAGAGCAUGAUCAGCCACACGGGCACUGAGACACGGGCCCGACUCCUACGGGAGGCAGCAGUAAGGAAUAUUGGACAAUGGACGCAAGUCUGAUCCAGCCAUGCCGCGUGAAGGAUUAAGGUCCUCUGGAUUGUAAACUUCUUUUAUAAGGGACGAAAAAAGACUUUUCUAAGUCGUCUGACGGUACCUUAUGAAUAAGCACCGGCUAACUCCGUGCCAGCAGCCGCCGUAAUAC